rnacentral:rRNA from 1 species
UGGGCUUGACAUGCUCCGGAAUCCUGCAGAGAUGCGGGAGUGCCCUUCGGGGAAUCGGAACAC